rnacentral:rRNA from 1 species
GCAGUCGCCGCGGGAAUACGAAGGGGGCUAGCGUUGUUCGGAUUUACUGGGCGUAAAGCGCACGUAGGCGGACUUUUAAGUCAGGGGUGAAAUCCCGGGGCUCAACCCCGGAACUGCCUUUGAUACUGGAAGUCUUGAGUAUGGUAGAGGUGAGUGGAAUUCCGAGUGUAGAGGUGAAAUUCGUAGAUAUUCGGAGGAACACCAGUGGCGAAGGCGGCUCACUGGACCAUUACUGACGCUGAGGUGCGAAAGCGUGGGGAGCAAACAGGAUUAGAUACCCGUGUAGUCCCUGUCUCUUAUAC